UCUAUCUGAAUGGCAACAGCCCCAUUCACAAGGAUUUUCCUGAAACAAGCUACAGAGAAGGCAGAAGUCUGAAAUCAAAGCAUCAGGAGGACCAGGCUCCCUUCCAAAAGGAGAACAUUUCCUACCUCUUUCAGACCCUUGUUGCUCCAAGCACCUCUUGGCCCAAGGCUACAUGGAUCCAGUAUUUACCUCCGUCAUCACAAGGCAGACUCCCCGGUGUCUUUUAUAAGGAUAUUCACCAAUAAAACUAACCAGGGC
rnacentral:lncRNA from 1 species